GAUGAACGCUGGCGGCGUGCCUAAUACAUGCAAGUCGAGCGAACAGAUGAGGAGCUUGCUCCUCUGACGUUAGCGGCGGACGGGUGAGUAACACGUGGAUAACCUACCUAUAAGACUGGGAUAACUUCGGGAAACCGGAGCUAAUACCGGAUAAUAUAUUGAACCGCAUGGUUCAAUAGUGAAAGACGGUUUUGCUGUCACUUAUAGAUGGAUCCGCGCCGCAUUAGCUAGUUGGUAAGGUAACGGCUUACCAAGGCAACGAUGCGUAGCCGACCUGAGAGGGGGUUCGGCCACACUGAAACUGGAACACGGUCCAGACCCCUACGGGAGGCAGCAGUAGGGAAUUUUCCGCAAUGGGCGAAAGCCUGACGGGGCAACGCCGGGGGAGGGAUGAAGGUCUUGGGAUCGUAAAACUUUGUUAUUAGGGAAGAAAAAAUGUGUAAGUAACUAUGCACGUUUUGACGGUACCUAAUCAAAAAGCCACGGCUAACUACGU
rnacentral:rRNA from 1 species